GAAGCAGGUGAUGAAAGCAAGACAGGGACAUCAACACCCUCUAUAUUUCAGAGAUGGGAAUGAUCGACUGAAGUCAUGAGCGGCGACGGCGAGACAUU
rnacentral:snoRNA from 1 species